AACGAACGCUGGCGGCAUGCCUAACACAUGCAAGUCGAACGAGACCUUCGGGUCUAGUGGCGCAAGGGUGCGUAACGCGUGGGAAUCUGCCCUUCGGUUGGGAAUAACUGAGAGAAAUUUCAGCUAAUACCUUAUAAUGUCUUCGGACCAAAGAUUUAUCGCCGAGGGAUGAGCCCGCGUAGGAUUAGGUAGUUGGUGGGGUAAUGGCCUACCAAGCCGACGAUCCUUAGCUGGUCUGAGAGGAUGAUCAGCCACACUGGGACUGAGACACGGCCCAGACUCCUACGGGAGGCAGCAGUGGGGAAUAUUGGACAAUGGGCGAAAGCCUGAUCCAGCAAUGCCGCGUGAGUGAUGAAGGCCUUAGGGUUGUAAAGCUCUUUUACCCGGGAUGAUAAUGACAGUACCGGGAGAAUAAGCGCCGGCUAACUCCGUG
rnacentral:rRNA from 1 species